rnacentral:rRNA from 1 species
GUCCACGCCCUAAACGAUGCACACUAGUUGUUGUGAGGCUAGACCUUGCAGUAAUGCAGUUAACACAUUAAGUGUGCCGCCUGGGGAGUACGGUCGCAAGAUUAAAACUCAAAGGAAUUGACGGGGGCCCGCACAAGCGGUGGAGUAUGUGGUUUAAUUCGACGCAACGCGAAGAACCUUACCAGGUCUUGACAUUGAUCGCAAUUCCAAGAAAAUUGGAAGUUCCUCUUCGGAGGACGAGAAAACAGGUGGUGCACGGCUGUCGU